rnacentral:rRNA from 1 species
GAUGAACGCUGGCGGCGUGCCUAAUACAUGCAAGUCGAGCGAACAGACGAGGAGCUUGCUCCUCUGACGUUAGCGGCGGACGUGUGAGUAACACGUGUAUAACCUACCUAUAAGACUGGUAUAACUUCGGGAAACCGGAGCUAAUACCGGAUAAUAUAUUGAACCGCAUGGUUCAAUAGUGAAAUACGGUUUUGCUGGCUCUUAUAGAUGGAUCCGCGCCGUAUUAGCUAGUUGGUAAGGUAACGGCUUAUCAAGGCAACGAUGCGUAGCCGACCUGAGAGGGUGAUAGGCCACACUGGAACGGAGACACGGUCCAGACGCCUACGGGAGGCAGCAGUAGGGAAUCUUCCGCAAUGGGCGAGAGCUUGACGGAGCAACGCCGCGUGAGUGAUGGAGGUCUUCGGAGCGUAAAACUCUGUUAUGAGGGAAGAACAAAUGUGUAAGUAACUAUGCACGGCUUGACGGUACCUAGUCAGAAAGCCACGGCUAACUACGUG